rnacentral:misc_RNA from 1 species
CGGGCCAUGGGUUGAUACCUCCUUACCAAAAGCCUGAUGUAGGUAAUGUGCAGUGUCCACAACAUAUUGUCUGAUGAAAAAUAAGGAGAAAGCCCUCCUGAUGAUUGUAGGUGUGGUGGGUUCAUGGUGACCCCGAUAAAUGAGAGGGGAGGGUUACUCGGAUUCUCUGGCCCCCCACAAACUUUUCCCCGCUGUGUUCCCUUUCCCACUUAUACUCUAGUAUCCAAUCCACUUGAACACGUCAUGCUUAUAUGAGUGAAUCUUUGAUCGAGGUAAUCUUGGUUAUGACUUUUGUGACUCUUGGGUUAUAAUUCAUCUGGAACAGUGCCUGAUUUGCUGAAAUAUGAUAUGCGGUGCUAAAACGCAUUUCUCCGUGCUAUACUGACUUGUGAUUUGAUUAUAUCAGAGUCUCUCAAAUAAUCUUGCGCGAAAGGGACUGCGCCCCGCCUCGUUUUAAACCUAAGCCAUAUACAUAUAUCUCUCCGUACUUUCUAACUGUUUCGGUUGUGCCACAGUCUCUCUUUCCUCGCACCCUCAAGUUCCUUGAUGUC